AACGAACGCUGGCGGCAGGCCUAACACAUGCAAGUCGAGCGGACCCUUCGGGGUUAGCGGCGGACGGGUGAGUAACGCGUGGGAAUAUGCCCUUCUCUACGGAAUAGUCCUGGGAAACUGGGGGUAAUACCGUAUACGCCCUUUGGGGGAAAGAUUUAUCGGGGAAGGAUUAGCCCGCGUUGGAUUAGGUAGUUGGUGGGGUAAUGGCCUACCAAGCCUACGAUCCAUAGCUGGUUUGAGAGGAUGAUCAGCCACACUGGGACUGAGACACGGCCCAGACUCCUACGGGAGGCAGCAGUGGGGAAUCUUAGACAAUGGGGGCAACCCUGAUCUAGCCAUGCCGCGUGAGUGAUGAAGGCCUUAGGGUUGUAAAGCUCUUUCAGCGGGGAAGAUAAUGACGGUACCAGCAGAAGAAGCCCCGGCUAACUCCGU
rnacentral:rRNA from 1 species